UCUGGCUGUAGUUGGGCAAACAGUACUAUAAGCUGUUUUCCGCAUAACCAGCGGCCACCGGAAGAUCCCCGGUUCAAAUCCGGGAGGCGGGA
rnacentral:tRNA from 1 species